CAAAGUAUAGCUUAACGAAAGCAUCUCGCUUACUCCGAGAAAAUAUCUGUAGAACUCAGAUUACUUUGA
rnacentral:tRNA from 1 species